CGCACUAUGAGAAACUUUAAGCGAUGAGGUCAGAGCAGUCAUUGUAGUAAGCCGUAGUAAACGGACUGGAGCAGACAAGUUGUCAAAAUGCCGAGUUAUGGACGAGUUACACCCAACCCGAGAGUAUGUCGGAAAUUAUUCGCGGACGAUGGAGAUAUGGAUGCAAUUAAGGAUGCGAAAUGUUCGUUUGAAAAUACGUUUAACAAAAUUCUAGAGGAGGAAAGUUCUAGAGCUAAAUUGCUCUAUAACUUCGACCCGGAUAAUGGUCCAAUGGCCACAACAACUGGAAGAUACAAUUGGGUUGCAAUGAGAGGAGUCGAUGUCCCAUCAUGCUACCUUCACAAACCAAGGGAUUUAUACCCGAAAUAUUCAAACCAGGACAACCAGGAUAUGAUUCCUUUGACUCAGAGUUUGCAGAAACCGUGCGAUAGCCAGUUAAGGGACAGUUCCACAUCUAGUCAGGAUGCCUCAACGUUUAUCCGUCCAGAGAGUUCAGAAAAAACGCCUAGAAAAAUACGUUUAAGGCAGAGCAAAGUAACUGAAUUAAUGAAAAUCUCAAAGCCUAAAAGAUCUCUUGAAACCUCAAAGCGGAAGCGACACACAGACAUCUCAGCAGACGAUAGAAUAGCAAAGCAGACGAGAAUCGGUUUAUCUUAGCAAGGAAUUGCAUAAUCAUAGCAAAGUGUCCGAGAUGCCCGCACAUGGUCCCCAUCAACAGACACACCUGGGAAGACAGGCAACUAGUCAAUCGUGAAGUCGUCUGCUGGCGUCCAAACGUCAACACUGGAGGUCAUGUGACAGGAGUCGUCGUGAUGACGAGAAAGUUUGCCUUUGUUCGGAGAUUUCCGGAAGCAUUCGGAAGUCACUCUCGUCUGCUUCUGCCAAAAGUUGGCUUUUCGUGACAAAAUAUCCGCUGAACGAAGAGAAACAAGACGAGAUCUUUAGGAAGGUACAACGUAAAACAAGGCUGUGUAUUGGCUGAUUUCGCAAUAAUAAUUGCCUGGUUCGGCGAGAGCGCCGCCACAAGAGAACCAUGCUCACUCAUGAUGGAAUUGUUUACCAACGGAAAGGAAAGUAGGACAUUGAUUAUAUAUGCAUAUAAUUGCGAUGUAAACACAAUGGACUUCUUGGAACAGUAAUAUUUUAUUAAUAGUCGUGACAUAUUCUUUCAAUUAUUAUUAGUAUCCAUGGUUCCCAACGGGAAAUUAUUGGCAGUGGAUUCGAAUGAGGCCAAACUUUUUAUGAUAUUAAUUUCAAAUUUACUAAAUAUACUUUAGUUUUUUCUGGUGUUUUUUUUCUU